AGCUUUGCACAGUGGUAAUAUCAUAGUCAAUGAAGGUUUACUGAGGUGUGAUUAUUGCUAUUUAAAAACUUUACCCAAUACCCCAUUAAGUCUGUUUUAUGAUGCACUUCUUGCCAAUUUUUUACCGUGUAUGAGGAGA